rnacentral:rRNA from 1 species
GACAGAGGUCCCGAGCGUUAGGCGGAAUCACUGGGCUUAAAGCGUGUGUAGGCGGAUCGUUAAGUGCCUUGUGAAAUCCCACGGCUUAACCGUGGAACUGCUUGGCAUACUGGCGGUCUUGAGCCACUUAGGGGCAACCGGAACAAAUGGUGGAGCGGCGAAAUGCGUAGAUAUCAUUUGGAACGCCAAUGGUGAAAACAGGUUGCUGGGAGUGUGCUGACGCUGAGACACGAAAGCCAGGGGAGCGAACGGG